UACGUAGGGGGCAAGCGUUGUCCGGAUUUAUUGGGCGUAAAGAGCGUGUAGGCGGUCUGGUAGGUCCGUUGUGAAAACUCGAGGCUCAACCUCGAGACGCCGAUGGAAACCAUCAGACUAGAGUCCGGAAGAGGAGAGUGGAAUUCCUGGUGUAGCGGUGAAAUGACGCAGAUAUCAGGAAGAACACCCGUGGCUAAGGCGGCUCUCUAGUACGGUACUGACGCUGAGACGCGAAAGCGUGGGGAGCGAACAGG
rnacentral:rRNA from 1 species